UACGGGGGGAGCAAGCGUUGUUCGGAUUUACUGGGCGUAAAGGGCGCGUAGGCGGCCUCUGCAAGUCGACUGUGAAAUCUCCGGGCUUAACUCGGAAAGGUCAGCCGAUACUGCGGGGCUAGAGUGCAGAAGGGGCAACUGGAAUUCUCGGUGUAGCGGUGAAAUGCGUAGAUAUCGAGAGGAACACCUGCGGCGAAGGCGGGUUGCUGGGCUGACACUGACGCUGAUGCGCGAAAGCUAGGGGAGCGAACGGG
rnacentral:rRNA from 1 species